rnacentral:rRNA from 1 species
ACUCCUACGGGAGGCAGCAGUAGGGAAUCUUCCACAAUAGGCGCAAGCCUGAUGGAGCAACACCGCGUGAGUGAAGAAGGGUUUCGGCUCGUAAAGCUCUGUUGUUAAAGAAGAACACGUAUGAGAGUAACUGUUCAUACGUUGACGGUAUUUAACCAGAAAGUCACGGCUAACUACGUGCCAGCAGCCGCGGUAAUACGUAGGUGGCAAGCGUUAUCCGGAUUUAUUGGGCGUAAAGAGAGUGCAGGCGGUUUUCUAAGUCUGAUGUUAAAGCCUUCGGCUUAACCGGAGAAGUGCAUCGGAAGCUGGAUAACUUGAGUGCAGAAGAGGGUAGUGGAACUCCAUGUGUAGCGGUGGAAUGCGUAGAUAUAUGGAAGAACACCAGUGGCGAAGGCGGCUACCUGGUCUGCAACUGACGCUGAGACUCGAAAGCAUGGGUAGCGAACAGGAUUAGAUACCCUGGUAGCUCGAUG